GGACAAGUAGCUCAGCUGGCUAGAGCACGCGCUUCACACGCGCGGGGUCGGGGGUUCGAGUCCCUCCUUGUCCA
rnacentral:tRNA from 1 species